GUCUAUAGUUAUUGUUGAGCAAGCAAGUAUUCGAUGUUUGAUUUGUCAUAAGUUUUACAAUGUAUAGAAGAAAAUGUUUAAAGACAUAAGCCAAUCUCCGUCUGGGGUACCUGAAAGAAACUACACUAAGCACUUUACAACACCACAGUCAAGCCAUUUAUUCAUAAACCGGUUGAGUGGACGCCGUCGCCUUUGACUGACCUGUUCUUGGCCAGGUUAUC